rnacentral:rRNA from 1 species
UGAGCAAUCUGCCCUUCUCAUCGGAAUAAGCGUGGGAAACCGCGUCUAAUGCCGAAUACGACCUCCUUUCGCAUGAUCGGAGGUGGAAAGCUCCGGCGGAGAAGGAUGAGCUCGCGGCCUAUCAGCUAGUUGGUGUGGGUAAUGGCCCACCAAGGCGACGACGGGUAGCCGGCCUGAGAGGGUGACCGGCCACACUGGGACUGAGACACGGCCCAGACUCCUAGGGAGG